UCGAGAAUUUUUCACAAUAAACGCAAGCCUGAUGGAGCGACGCCACGUGGAAAAUGAAUGGCUUCGACCCGUAAACCCCUGUCAUUUGCGAACAAAUUGGUUCAAUUAACACCUGAACCAUUGAUAGUAGCGAAAGAGGAAGGGACGGCUAACUCUGUGCCAGCAGCCACGGUAAUACAAAGAUCCCAAGCGUUGUUCGAAUUCACUAAACAUAAAGAAUACGUAGGUGAUAAGAUAAGUCGGAUGUGAAAGCUCGAAGCUCAACUCCGAAAUGGCAUUGGAAACUACCUUGCUAGAGGGUUGGAGAAAGGACUGAAAUGCUUGGUGUAGCAGUGAAAUGCGUAGAUAUCAAGCGGAACACCAGUGGCGAAGGCGAGUCCCUAGACAACUCCUGACACUGAAACACGAAAGCUAGGGGAGCAAACAGGAUUAGAUACCCCCGUAGUCC
rnacentral:rRNA from 1 species